CUCAUAUACGUGUAUGUGCACAUGAAUGUAUACGAGAAGCCAACCAGCUACACUCCUCACCAAAUUCAUGACCUGCAAGAAACAGCAAACAGAACUUGUACUCAGUACUUAUGUACUUAUGUACUUAUGUAGCCCUUUUGUGAUGUAGUGACGCGCGUUUCCACUGCAGGGUGCGGAACAGCAGGAAGACAUCGGAGAGGGGACGGGCAGAGAAACGACCAGCCCAGCAGUGAGUCUGAUGUAGAGGACGCUGAUGCUGCUCCUGCUCCUGCUCCUGCCCCUGUCCCUGCCGCUGGCCCUUCCCAUGUACCUGUCCCUGAGGCUGCCCCUGCCCCAAGACCACAGGGCGCGACGAAGAGGAAGAGAGCAGCCAGGGUACCGGAGGGGAAUAAUGUCCAGACAGCCAUCCUCCAGGCCCUGCAGAGGCAUAAUUCUGUCCCUACCCCUACCCCCCUUUCUGGGAAUGAGCACUUUGCCAUGGGCCUAGUUCCUUCCCUGGAUAGAUUGCCACCUGAAG
ensembl:lncRNA